rnacentral:lncRNA from 1 species
GAUAUCACCGCUAAUUAAGUCCUGAUCCCCUGGCUCCACUUGAAACAAACCAAGGAGGGAUCAAGUUUUGCGAGCAGGUGCUAACUGGUUGCAAAAGAGGAGUCCAUCACUUCAGCAAAAGGUUUCACUGUACCUUGGGGAGGACACAGCUUUUCUGAGGAAAGUCAUUACUGGACAGAGCCAUAGGCUCUUAUUUUGUCUUAGGACACGGAGGAGCUUGUAAAAAACAAAAAAACACAAAAAACAAUCCUCCGCUGUGACAAACAACUGUUUUCCUUUCCUGUGUUUUCCCCUUGAUGGCUGAUUUACUUUCUCCUCAGAUGGACAAUGGAGUAAUUUACAGUCUUCACAGGAAUGUAGGCGAUUAGCCACGGAGCCCUUCUCUGUCUAGCAUCAGGCAUCAGACGCCCAACUAUACAGAGGCCAUUUGAAUGGAACUGCAGAAUAAUCUUCAGAAGAAAAAGCAAGCUCACAUGAGUGGCAGCAGCCCAUUGUGCUGAGUUAAAGACGCUGGAGAGAGUCUGGUUGGCGGUGGGGAGGUGUGGAAAUUGAGUAACAGAAAAAUUAACUUGCCAAGAUAACACAGCUAGUAAAUAGUAGAGCUGUGAUUUGAAGCCAGGCAGUGAACUUCAGAAAUCCUUUCUGUUGAUGUGGGGAGUGGAGGACUCCAGACCCUGCCCAUUUGGCCUUGCCUCGUCUCUUUUUACUCUAGAAAAUGCUGUGGCUCUAUCAAAUACAGCUCAAAAAGCUACUCAUCCAGUUCAACUCUCUCCUUUGAAAGAUGAAGAUAUUGAGACCCAGAGAGGUGGAUACCCUGAGGUGGAGAAGAGACUGAAUAUGCCCACUGCAUCCAAAGCAAGGCUGGAGCUGACUUGAGCUUACUUGGCUUCAUAAAGCUUGAACACCAUAGAUGCUUUUAUAUGUCUUUCCUGUUCGAUUACUCUGGAUAGAGUGUGCUACUCCUAACACAAAGCAAAACCAAACCAAAAAACAAACCUCUCUUUUUCAUUUCCUUAAAGAAAAAAGAAAUUUAAUUUGGAUUCAGAUAAUACCCUUAUAACUUCUAAGGCAGUCAAGCAAGGAGGGGAACAGAUAAUUAGGAGAUGAUGGGAGCCAGCACAAAGCCAAAUGGAAGAAAACAGGCACACAGUAAGGCGGCAAAAGCCACCACCUAAUCCAUUAACAGCCUGCACUAUAAUUACGCUUGGCUCUGGCAUUAAACUGGUGAAAGCACAAAGGAGACACUAUUAAAGUCUUAAUUCCCACAAAAGGAAGCUCAUCCUGUGUAACAGCAAGUACUGUGCACCAAAGCGGCACCUAAAUGAAUAUUAUGGCAAAUUCUAAUUUAGCACUUAGUAGGAGCAUUCCACAAAAUUGCAAAAAUAAAGAGGAAGAAAGCUGAACGUGGUAAUUCAUGCCUGUAGUCCCAGCUACUCAGGAGGCUGAGGCAGGAGGAUUGCCUGAGCCCAAGAGUUUGAGGCUAGCCUGGACAACAUAGCAAGACUUUCAUCUCUACACAAAAUUAUUAGCUGGAUGUGGUGGCAUGUACCUGUAGUACCAGCUGGUCGAGAGGCUGAGACAAGAAGAUUGCUUGAGCCCAGGAGUUCAAAGUCAGCCUGGGCAACAUAGCGAGACCCUGUUUCUCAAAAAUAAUUAGAAAAAUAAAUAAAGGAGAAGAAAAGACUAGGUGGUGUUUCUUUAAAGGCAGUUCUUGCUGUUGCUCUAUGGGUUCACUUUCUCCCCAACCCCCAACCUUCUCAACCUUUCUCCAACCUCUCCAGCCCUCCCCAGCCCUCCCCAGCCUGUGUCUCUGCCCUCCCCAACCCCUCAUCGUCAGAUGGUUUUAAGCAUGUGGCUUCCUGAAAGCUGUGGGUCAGGAGGUAGCAGCAGGCCAAGUCUUCCUCCUUCGGCAGAAGGAGGAGCAGUGUGAGGUGCAAGUGGGCAGAGGCAGAGACUGAAAGUUCUUGAGGAGAACAGGUGUGAGGCCACAGGAAGCUCCACCAGGCACCUGGCUGCACAGUGACUUUUGCAGUGACAGUGCUUCAGCCUCCUUCCACGGGACCGCAGGAUUCAAAAUGGCAUCACCUCCACUUCUGUCAAUACAUCCGCAAGAGGGCUAGCA